rnacentral:rRNA from 1 species
GACGAACGCUGGCGGCGUGCCUAAUACAUGCAAGUAGAACGCUGAAGGAGGAGCUUGCUCUUCUGGAUGAGUUGCGAACGGGUGAGUAACGCGUAGGUAACCUGCCUGGUAGCGGGGGAUAACUAUUGGAAACGAUAGUUAAUACCGCAUAACAGUAGAUGUUGCAUGACAUUUACUUAAAAGGUGCAAUUGCAUCACUACCAGAUGGACCUGCGUUGUAUUAGCUAGUUGGUGGGGUAACGGCUCACCAAGGCGACGAUACAUAGCCGACCUGAGAGGGUGAUCGGCCACACUGGGACUGAGACACGGCCCAGACUCCUACGGGAGGCAGCAGUAGGGAAUCUUCGGCAAUGGACGGAAGUCUGACCGAGCAACGCCGCGUGAGUGAAGAAGGUUUUCGGAUCGUAAAGCUCUGUUGUAAGAGAAGAACGAGUGUGAGAGUGGAAAGUUCACACUGUGACGGUAUCUUACCAGAAAGGGACGGCUAACUACGUG